AUUCAACAGACAGUUGCAGAAUACAGAGAGGCAGUGUGGGAAAAAGAAUGACUCAAAGAGGUUGGUGCUGACCCUGCUGGAACAUGCCCACUGGUGCACACUUGAAUGUCACCACAAGGAGGAACAAGGGCUAAGUGUGGAGAUGGAGGAGACAUAUGGAUGUGUGGGGCUUGCUAGCACAGCCUACUUGAAAACUACUUCAGGAAGGACCAACCCCAGCAGAGAGAGAAUGUCCCAGGGUGAGCUGGGCAUUUUUCAGCAGUGACAAGGAGCCAGAACACUGAGCAAACAGGCAUAACUACAUGAUCCUGGGGAAAGUCCUAUGUUGAAAGGAAAAUGACAGCUGACCAUGGGGACACCCGCAUUCCUGCAGCACCUUCUGCACCCUACCGAGGGCUACAGGCCUGGAUUUCUCCAUCGCGUUGAGUGCCUUGCUGAUCUCCUCAAAAUGGUCCAGGAGAUUUUCCCUGAAAGAGAAGCCACCUCAGACAUUAAGUCCAGGAGAAAAGUAACUCUUGAUGCCCACUCCACCGUGACAACCUGACCGUUGAGCCAAGAGCUAUUGUGGAGGGAUUUCGCAGGGUCGGAGAGGUGUUUGUGUGAACAGGAGUUGCAGAGAAAAGCGGUCAGCCUCUGCUGCCUUCCUUUAUCACCGUUACCAGCCACGGCACCGCCCUGGAGAAAUGCCGACCCCGUUUUCUGGGUCAGAGUUGGUACUUUUCAAAGGGAACCAAGAAUUUUAACACAAGGCUGGGUAAACAUGUGCACGGAGUAAAUGCAGGCUUGGAGCAGAGAUCGACAAAUCCUGCCAAACAGAGCUGCUGUUGGCCCACACUGGGCAGCAGCGCCAUUCUGGGGUCUUGUCCUCCUCUGGCUCUGACUGGUGAUGCCGAGGAGGACACAGCCGUGACCCGUAGUCACCG